CCUACGGGCGGCAGCAGUGGGGAAUAUUGGACAAUGGGGGCAACCCUGAUCCAGCCAUGCCGCGUGUGUGAAGAAGGCCCUCGGGUUGUAAAGCACUUUCAGUGAGGAAGAACGCCUGGUGGUUAAUACCCAUCAGGAAAGACAUCACUCACAGAAGAAGCACCGGCUAACUCCGUGCCAGCAGCCGCGGUAAUACGGAGGGUGCGAGCGUUAAUCGGAAUUACUGGGCGUAAAGCGCGCGUAGGUGGCUUGAUAAGCCGGUUGUGAAAGCCCCGGGCUCAACCUGGGAACGGCAUCCGGAACUGUCAAGCUAGAGUGCAGGAGAGGAAGGUAGAAUUCCCGGUGUAGCGGUGAAAUGCGUAGAGAUCGGGAGGAAUACCAGUAGCGAAGGCGGCCUUCUGGACUGACACUGACACUGAGGUGCGAAAGCGUGGGUAGCAAACAGGAUUAGAUACCCGUGUAGUC
rnacentral:rRNA from 1 species